rnacentral:rRNA from 1 species
GUCGAACGCUGGCGGCGUGCCUAAUACAUGCAAGUCGAACGCAGUGGGGACGGGUGCGUAACACGUGGGUAACCUCCCAUCAGAGGGGAUAACACUUGGCAACAGGUUCUAAACCGCUACUGAUGGAUGGACCCGCGUUGCAUUCGCUAGUUGGUGAGGUAACGGCUCACCAAGGCUACGAUGCAUAGCCGGCCUGGGAGGGUGGACGGCCAAACUGGGACGGAGACACGGCCAAGAAUUCUACGGGAGGCAGCAGUAGGGAAGCAUCGGCAAUGGGGGGAAGGCUGACUGAGCAACGCCGGGUGAGUGAAGAAAGGUUUUGGAUCGUAAAACUAUGUUGUUAGAGAAGCGGUAACUAACCAGAAAGGGACGGCUAACUACGUGCCAGCCGCCGCGGUAAUUC